UCUUAAAAUUCAGACGCUUACAUUAAUAAAGUUUGCGACAGUAUAGCAUGCCAGAUCCAGCUUUCUAUGUUGGAAAGUGAGAAUUAACUUUAUGAUGUGGGGAAGUAAUAUUCUUUGUUGGUUUUUUUACAGUGAGUCAUGAAACUGCCAUUGCGCAGAGUGUUUCUGUUUGCCCUGAAAGGUGUUGGAGCAACACUGGAGGGUUAUAAGGGUCAGAGGUUUGUGAUUGCAGCAGAUUUCUGAGGCCCUCUGUUCUAAAAGUAACCCUGUACAUUCCUGAACCAGCUACUUCUGGAACUCACUGGUAUUUUGGAAGUGACAUGGCAUAAAUAACAGUCAGGAUAGGAUCAGUGAUUGUGACUAUGCUUUACCUCCACUAUUGCAAGCAAUGAGUUUCUGAAUGCUAGUUGCUAGAAACUGCAGAAGGAGAGAGUCCUGUUGCACUUGCCUCCUGCUUCCCACAGGCUCCUUGUGGGCCACUGUAAGAAGGAUGGGCCGCUGGCCUGAUUCUGCAGGCUCUUCUUCUGUUCAAGUCAGUGUUUUCCUCCAUUCUACCAUUCCAUGACAUUUGUGGAUUUGCCAAGCAGGACCAUAACACUUUCCUGUACACCUUCAUUGAGAGCAUUUUUAAAAAUAAAAAUAAUUUGUUUUACAUUAAUAUUGCCACCAUUUCGCCUUUGGUAUGGCUGGCGUGUUGAUGGUUGCCAUCACAGUAUUAGCUGAGCGUCGGACUCUCUGGAAGUGUACUUAUUAUGGAGUUAAAAUGAACUCUUUAAACUGUAUGAGUUCCCAGACCAGCUUAAGACAGAAGUGUUUGCUGUUAUUAGCAGUUUAAUGGAUUAUGGUCCUUAAUUAGAUAUUGUGUAACUUCAAAAUAACUCACAUCCUUUCAAAUGUGUAAAAGAGAAUUGGCUUGCAAGCAAUGGUGUUCUAGAUGGCAGGAGGUCCCUUAGACAAACAAGUAGGGUCAAAUUCUUCGUUGCCAGCAAUGGUUUUAUAGGCUGGCCUGGUGUUAAUGGUUGGCAUAGUCAGGCCCUUUCUGGGAUACCGCCUCUUGCUGUUACUACUUGCCUUAGGUGAAAUUCUUCCUAGCUACUGACUUGGCUCCCCAUUUUAUAAGCAGCCUUACUUGUCAUGAGCAAGCCUUUCCAACUCCUCCCUCAGAAGACUCCCCAUUCUUGCUGUAGCAGCAUGUCGUGGUUGUCAGGGCAACCAAACCAAUCUUCCCUGCCUACUUCAUGUUGUUGCCUCCCCGCUCCUGCAUCAGCCCUGUCAUUGGGUAGGCAGACAGCCUUUCCCCCUGUUUUGUGGCAGUUCCCAGCUCUUGUUCCCUUUACCUGGACAGCCAGGUAAGCUCAACCAGUGUCCUCCCACACAUCCGAUGAUGAUGGAGAGGGUCAAGAGGGUGAGAAUGGGAGCCAUAAUCACCAAGUUGCUUUCUUUCUGUUGGUGGGACACUUCUAAUAUUUUUUCAAAGGGAUUGCUAUUCAUCGCCCUAAGGCAGCAUUGUUUAUAGUUUAUUCUUUACUGGAGGUGGGGAGGAUGCUAGCAUUUCACAGUGGCUAGUAGUGAUUCAUCUGAAGUAGGGACAGAAAGACAAAUAGGCAGUCAAGUCACAUGAGUAGCACAUUGGUUUCAUCUCCCUGUGUCUUCUGUGAUUCCUGAUAUAGUCUAUUUUGUAUGAGCCACUCAGCUAGCUACCAUACCGUAGAUUGAGCAACUUGCUGGAGUAACCAAAGUCUGCUAAGGACCUUCUUUCUUUGUUUAGUAGAAAGCAGGAAAAACAGGGUAUUAAGAAAAAAUGUAUCUUGUCUAACCAGAUCAUCAGAAGAAGAAAAAAUCUAUUGUCUGGAGGUCAGGUUCUGCAAGUAUGAGGAAUUUCAGCUGAAUUUUACUUGUGCAGUCAGCUGUUGUGUAUGCAGUUGGUUUUGUCUUGUUAUGACCUUGGAAUUUAUGAGCUCCAAUGUUUUGUUUGUUGGCUAGUUGGAGGCAUAUUAUAUAUAUAUAUAUAUAUAUAUAUAUAUAUAUAUAUAUAUAUAUAUAUCGCAUAAAAAUGCUCAAAUGAAAGUUGAACAGAACAGAAUCAAUUAAUUCCUUAAAACUAGUAGAUAGGUUUGUUGUCACACAGUAUGCCCUUUUGAUAGGCUGUCAGAGGAACUUAGGAAGCUGCCAUUUACUGAGCCAGACCAUUUGUCUUUCUAGCUCACUAUUGUCCAGGGAUCUCCAUGGUUUCAAACAAGGGACAUUCCUGCUCCCACCCUGAUAUUCUGGGGUUUGAAACUGGAAGCUUCUGUGUGCAAAGCUGGUGUUCUACCAAUGAGCUAUGGUCCUCCCUCCUCUCUCCGGUCCUGUUUUCAUUUACUUGGUAUGUGUGACAAGAUUUCUUCAUUCUAGGCUGUGGGAGGAGGGCACAAGGAUUAUAGGAGCUCUGAAGCUUAAGGAAGCAAUGCUCCCUAAAGGCACCUGAGAUCUGGAGAUGUAUGGACCCUCCUGUUACUCUUCCCUCAAGAUUCUCUCAUCACCCAAGGUGGUCAAGGAAUGCAUUCAACAAAGCUUUGUGAGCCUGGUGAAGCUUUGAUCACCUGGCCAUACGGGGCACUCUGGUGUACACCAAAAGACCCAUUGUGAAUAAGAGAUGGGAGUGACACACUAACUUGUGUGCACAUAUUAUUAUCAUUAUCAUCUAUAUUGAUUCAUCACCAUAUACCCAAAAUGGUUUUAUGGUGACUUACAACAGGAGUAUAGAACAAACAAUAAACACACAAUUAAAACCGAGUUUAAUAAAAUCCCCUUAACUCCAAGAACUUCAUCAAAUACUUCAUCAGGAAAUGGCAGCAGCAGCAAAAUUGUAUGUAAUGUUUUGAGAAUGUGACAGCUGUUUAUGAGAAGUGUGACUAUUCGUUUAGGACAAUUGAAAAUGAAUGUUAACAUGACUUCAGAUAUCAGACGGUGGUUCUAAACUGUACUCUUCAGAGCUUUAGAGUUCCAUGGGAGCUUAGCAAAGAUUCUGAGUGAAGUAAUAGACAAGGUAAUUUCCCCUUCUUUCCCUUGCAAUUAUUACCAACAGCAGAAUAGUCCCACUUACAGGGCCGGCCCACCCAUGUGGCAAGGUGAAGCGCCUGCCUCAGGCUGCAGGAUCCACCAGGACAGCAGAUCGCAAUGUAGAUUGUUCUUUCCACCUUGCUCCUGGUGUAGAUUUUCCCUCACCCCUUCUUCCCUGGUGGAGAGGGGUGUGUGUGCUAUUUUGGCGUCUGCCUCAGGUGCCAAAAUAUCUUGGGCCAGCCCUGCCCACUUGCAUCAUGUGGGGCUGCAGUAGUGGUUUUAUGAGGUUAUAGACUGCAGAGCCUGCAAAUUAUUUGCAGGAAAUAUUUGCCACUGCACAUAAACCUUACUUUGCCCACAGUUUUACCCCUAGAUAUUUUGUCACUACCAAGUGACCUCUGUCUGAGUUGUCAUUGUGUUAAAGGCCUGCUUUGCUGGAGGACUCAGUGCUUAGUUUACUAGAUGAAGCGUUGAACAAAGUGCUUAUUAAUAAUUCAAAAUCAACUGCAGGAGGUUGAUACAGAAAAUAAAUACAGGAGGCACUUGCUGCUUGUAUUGUUCUGUGGCUGUUCAUAGAGUGGCACUAGUGAUGAUGAUGAAACAGGCAGGGAGCAGAGCACUGAAAACGGACUAUGCCUCCUCACUCAUGCACCAUUCCUAGAUGGCUUGCUCAGGUCUUAUACUGGACACCAAAAAGACAUCCCUUACCAUGACAGCUUCUAGGUGUCUAAAUUGCAGCCUUCAGUGUCCACCUUUCUUCCUUUUGUUUGUUAUGUUUUCUGAUGACAGAUUUUGGGGUUCAUAAUUCUCACUCCUGAAGCUAAGCAACAAAGAAUCUCAUGGUACCUUAAUGACUAACAAAUCUGUUUCUAUGGACUGCAGUCCAUUUUAUGCAUUUAUAUGAUUAUUACAGUCAUACCUCGGUUUAAGUAUGCCUCGGUUUGAGUAUUUUCAGUUUAAGUACUCCGUGGACCUGUCUGGCACGGAUUAAUCCACUUUCCAUUACUUUCAAUGGGAAAGUUCGCUUCAUGUUAAGUACGCUUCAGGUUAAGUAUGGACUUCCAGAACCAAUUACACUCAUACCUCGGGUUAAGUACGCUUCAGGUUGAGUACUCCGUGGACCCGUCUGGAACAGAUUAAUCCACUUUCCAUUACUUUCAAUGGGAAAGUUCGCUUCAGGUUAAGUACGCUUCAGGUUAAGUACAGACUUCCAGAACCUAUUGUGUUUGUAAACCGAGUUACCACUGUACAUUUAUACCCCACCUUUCUUUCAAGGAGGCUUCCCCCUUCUCCGUUUUAUCCUCACGAACAACCCUUUGGAGUAGGUUAGGCUGAGAGACUGUGACUAUGACAUUUGCAGGAAACCCGCCAAAUAAUGGUUUAAGAGAGUAUUGGGGGGGGGGAAUCAGAUAAGAUCACUGCAGAAAAGUUAAUGGGUGGUGUUCAAGUAAUUCAUCUUGUCAGUGAAUCACAAAGAUUUCUGCUUGUACAACAGGACUUCUCCCUCUGUGCAUGCGAGGAGAAGAGGGGAAUAAUGUGCAAACAGAAAUCCUUAUGUUUAUUUUAUUUUUUUUAAGUUUAUAAACUGCUGUAUCAUAAAAAAUACAUCACAGCAGUUUGCAACAAUAUAAAAGCAUAAAACCAGACAAUAAAAUAAUAAAAAGUUAAAAACAAUUUUAAAGCAAUAAUAAUAAAAACAAGCAUCAGUAGACCCUUGUGGGGGGUGCACUCUUAACUGCCGGCAUAAGCUUGGCAGAAUGGAAAAGUUUUGAACAGGUGUUUAAAAGUUGGCACGGACGGUGCCCGCUGAACCUCUAUUAGCAGAACUGGGGUGGUAACACAAAAGGCUGAGUGUCUUGUUAUUUCCAAAUGAGCUCCAUCAGCUUGGAGAAUGGUUGACCAGAGAUGCUCCUGCAGAUGAUCUCAGUGUCUGGGCUGGGCUGUAAGGGUUCAGGUGAUAUCUGAGAUAUCCUGGAUCCAAGUUGUUCAGGGCUUUGUAAAUCAAUACAAGAAUAUUGACAGAAUGUUCACAUACUGCUGCUUGGGAUAAGACUCUUAUAUCUUUGCUUUACACCUCAGUUUUGAAAAUACACCUGAUCUUUUCUUGUCUAAAUCUUGCAUAAGUAGAGCCCUGUUGGAUCAGGCCAAAGACCCAUUUAGUCCAACAGCCUGUGGGAAGCCUGAAAGCAGAGAUUGAUGUGUGAAAAUAGCAGGCAGCUAUUGGUGUGCUAAGUAACAGCAAGUUGCCAUGACCAGAUGGUAUCCUCACCAAGGAUUCUGAAGGGACACAAAACGAAUGAUUGAACUAUGUUAUCUGGACUGAAAGGUAGCUAAUGUAAUGCCAAAGUUACCAAAAAUAGACCCCUUUAGGCAAUUCCAGAAAGGACAAUAUAUUAUUAGCCUGUAAUUGGCUAGGCAAAACAGUGCUUCCAUUUGCUGAUGUGCCCUGGAAAGAUGUUGGACUUACAUGCUGAACAUUAAGGAUGCUUUUCUGUUGCAUCUCUCUCAGUUGAUUUAAUAACCUCUCUCCGCACUGUGGAUAAGCAUACCCAAAUUAUCUAAGAUCUUGAGCAAGUAGAUGUUACAAUACUAGCUAAAGAUAUGGAAAUACAUUUUUUGCAUUCCUAAAAGUCACUUAUUUGUGUUUAUGCUUGUGUAAAUAGAAGGUGUGAUGUUGGAAAGUUUAUUCAGUGCCUGCCUGAUGAGUUAAAUGAGGGGGUGCUAGUAUUCCAUUUCACCACACGGGUGUUGUGAGUCCAUAUCCACCAGCAGCUGUGAAAUAUUCAGGCUGUUAUGGUGAUAAUAGGGUUGAUACAGAAGUCCUAAAAAAAUAAAAGAGGGGGGCACAUGGAGCACUUUGACACACUGGCAGUGCAAUCAAGAAGCUGUGCAUGGCCAUAGUUGCUAUAUAUAUUUUCUGUCUUCUAGUCACAAGAAUAGAUUUAAUGGCCUGUCCUACACUCUUUGUUUGGGGGCUAUAGAAUUGACAUCUGAUGUAGCAUAGUGGCUUAGAGGUAUGGUAUGAGCUGUGAGCCAGAAAGUCCCUGGCUUGAAUCACAUCUCUGUCAUGGAUUCACAUGGGGCCUCAACAAUGUGUCUAUUUAUUUAGCUUCAAGUCUGCUACGUUGCAGAAUGGGGUUAACAAAACCUUACAGGGUUGUUGUAAAGAUGACUGUGAAAUGCAUUGAACAGUCCAGAGUACUUGUGUUGUUUCUUAUAUGUUGGGGACAUGACAGGCCUGUAGAAUGAGGAAAUAUAAUAUUGUGUCUUCAGUACCUGCUCUGAUAGUAGUAACAAGAGCUGGUGAAUGACCCUUCCUCCUACUUGCAUGAAUGAAUGAAUUGCCCUUCCUUUGCCACAUGUGUCCCUUGGGGUCACGAAGGGUACUGGAUGUUCACUGCCUUUGGCAACUAAAACACAGGCAUCUCAUGUGCUUAACUCCAUACUCUAGAAGAGGCGCCAGAAGCACUUGCUGAGAGAUCCCUCCGCUUACAGGUACAGCAAGUAGCUCUCAGGUUACUACCUCAUUCAAUUCACAGCUGCCAGCUGAAUAAAUGUUAAUGUGAACCAUGAAUAAAUAAAGUCACUUCUCUGCUUACUGGCUUCUAUUCUGAACCAAGAUGAAAGGGCAUUGGAGGGAAAUCCAUUAUUUUCCUGGCAAGCUCAAGGGAAUGUCUGGGGAGGAAGUACUUUGGAAUAAUUAGUGGUUUACACAACAGGCGUGUUGCUGCAUUUUCUGUCACAUUAGCAAUCUCCUCUGCCCCCUGCUGCAAUCUCCCUACCCCCCACACCGGCAGCUAAUGGUAAACACUUUGCAAAAAUAAUAAGGAACCUACAGGUGGCUCUAGCCUCUUAAUCAUUCUGGCUGGUUUGCAUAUAGCAUUAUUUUGGCACUUGAGGCAAACUACAAAAUACCCACCACCACUCCCAACAGGGGGAACAGCGUGUGUGAAAAUCUACAUCAGGAACAAGGGAGGAAUAUAGAUCUGCAUUGGUAACAAGCGUGACAGGAGACCAGCAGUGCCUCCUUUACACCAAUGAGAUCUGGCUUCCAAUGAGCAUCAUAUCACAUCUAUCACUGCCACUGCAGCAGUGGCAGCAGCAGCAGGCAGUGCAUUCCUUUGGAGGCCAGAUCUGCUGCCCCUGCGGAUCCUGCCACCCAAGGUGUUUGCCUCACAUUGCAUCAUAGGUGGACUUGGCCCUGCACUGAGCCAUGGUUUAGCACUUCAUUAUCUAGCCUGAGCAGUUUUCAACUCACACACUUGACACUUCCCCCACUCCUGCUGCCGCCCGUCUCCUCCUCUGGCGUGUCCAAGAGGAUGAUUUCUGUCAGCUUCAGUUUCACUUUGGAAGAAUCUUAGCUUAGUGUUACAUUUGAACCACAGAACUUGGCUUAAAACAAACCCUGGCUAGUUUAAUAAGUCAGCUUCACAAUUCAUGGCUUGAAGUUGAUUUAUUAUUAACCUUACCACAGGUUGUUUUGAACCAGGAUUCCUGGUCCAAAUGCAACACUAAGCUGAGAUUCUUUAAAAAUGAAAUUAAACUUGGUAGAAGUUCUCCUCCUGACUGACCCAGAGGAGGAGAGUGGAGUGCAUCCAUCUCACGUUUCACUCAGGCUUAUUUAGUAGCAGACAGUGUGGUGUGGGUGCGCAAUUCACCUUACCUCCCUCCAGCUGAGUUGGGGUGCAGAGUGGGAGGGAGUAGGUGAUAGUGAGCUUGGCAUGGUGCAAAUAUGCCAGCAAGCUUAGCUCCAUGGGCACAUUUGCACUGCACUGACCUCGUCACCACCACUUGUCCCUUCCCUCUCUCCAUCCUGGAAUGCAGCAGUGACUCCAACAGAAGGAGGUUGUGAGCAGUGCAGCCCCACCCUGCCAUCAGCUGCUGGGCUUGUUGAUGUUCAUCUGUAUAGUGCUAAACUAUGGCUUACAGGGACCCAGGUGGCGCUGUGGGUUAAACCACAGAGCCUAGGGGUUGCUGAUCAGAAGGUCGGCGGUUCGAAUCCCUGCAACGGGGUGAGCUCCCGUUGCUCGGUCCCAGCUCCUGCCCACCUAGCAGUUCGAAAGCACAUCAAAGUGCAAGUAGAUAAAUAGGGACCGCUCCGGCGGGAAGGUAAACGGCGUUUCCGUGCGCUGCUCUGGUUCGCCAGAAGCAGCUUUGUCAUGCUGGCCACAUGACCCGGAAGCUGUCUGCGGACAAACGCCGGCUCCCUCGGCCUAUAGAGCUAGAUGAGCGCCGCAACCCCAGAGUCGGACACAACUGGACCUGAUGGUCAGGGAACCCUUUACCUUUAAACUAUGGCUUAGUGUUAUGUGCAAAUGUGGUUCAGUUCCACAAGUCUGUUUGCUAUAAAUCCAUCCCAUUUUCUCUCAGGCACUCAGGCUGGGGAUGUAGCAAUUCUACAUAGUCGAGUGGGAUCUCAAUCUUCAUAAGAUCCAUACUGUAUUAUAAACCCAAGCAGGAAAUACCCAGAAGGAUGGACAGAGAGCCUGGGGAGGAUACAACGGAAGCCUCUACUGCUAUUAACAUUUCUGUAGUAUCAACUAGUGCUGUACUGAACAGAAAAGUGGGAUGGUGAGAACCACAUUACAGAUGGGAAGGAGAGAGGGAAGAGACUGACAAUGUAUGGUGGGAAGCAAGGAAGGUGUGGAGAAGAUUUCAAUGUGUGUGGUUCUUGGUAUACUGUAUGUGUCUAUCUCUUGAUGUAAAUAUGCUGGUGCCCUGAUGGAUGCAUCAAAUUUGUGACAGUGUUUCCACUGAAGUGGAAGUUUGGUACCCAAAGUCCAGCAUGCCUUGAUCGCUGCAAAAAUAAAUAAAUAAUAAAUAAAUUGGAUAUUUUAACCUCUCUCAGACAAAACUUAAGACAUGAACUCUGCCUCAAAAUGGCAGUCAGCAUCCAUCUCCCUUUAGUAUACUUUAACCACCUUUGGAUGGCAGAAGGAGAUAUUUGCAGCAUCUGCCACCGGAAAGUAACCUACAAGCCCCCUUGCCCCUCUUACCUUUGCAACCUAUUUUCUACUUUAUCUGUUCAAAAUACAUUUUUUGUUUGUUUCUUCGUUCAAAUGAGGGUUUAGCAAUAAGUGUCAUAACACCUGGUUGACCCCUUCUAUAAUGCGUUGUUGUUUUUAAUGCAGAUUUUUCUAAUGGUCACAAAGGGACAAGUGUGUGUCUCGGUUACUGUGGUUUGAAGGUUAGAGAAAUGAGAUGCUAUAAGGGUUGCUCAUAGCUGAAUGUGUCCAAUCUGAAGUGGAUGCCAGCCUUGAAGAGUGUUAAAGCACUUUACCUGCCAUAGCCCAGCUAGAUGAUGGAACACUCACCUGAAAAGCGUCUGCCUGCAAGGCAGGAUCACUUGACACAAGAAACUACAUGUAACCCAAGAAAGGUUUUAGUGCUUAGUGUAACUGAACACGGUAGGCCAGCAUGAGGGGCACAGUCAUUCCCACAUGACUGCCCGGGGUCAGAAUGGAUGCUUUCUGAAUGCUUCACACCUUCUGGUGCUUUUCAGUCAUGAGCUCAUAUGUGAGAUCAAAUAAUGAAAAGGACUAUUUAGUGACUCCUCAGGCACGUGAUAGAGACAUCCAUCUACCACUUACACACACAGAGUGACCCGUGCAGUCCAGACCUCUGUGCUGCAGUAGAUACCAGAUACACUGUAGUGAGCUGCUUGCAGAGUGACAGCUUCAGUACCUUAGAACCUGAUUCCUAAUACUGUUUAUUGAUUUCUGUGGGAUUGUUUUCCAGGUUAAUAUGUUUAGGAUUGGAGAUUUUGGCACUGGUCCUAAGCAUCCUUAUUCGGAAUUCGUUCCCACUGCGAACUGUGGAGUUUGCUUCUGAGUAAACAUGGGUGGGAUGGGGAGUUGCAAGGCUUCUAACAAUGCCAGGCUCCCCUCUUCGCACCAUAUGCUGGUGGCAGUGGCACGGGGUGUGUGUGUGUGUUGUUGUGUGAAUAUUGUGGCUCUGCAACUCCUGGUAAGUAAGAAUGAUAACUGACCAUUGAGUGCACUGUACUGUUGGCCAAAGAUUAAAUUGCAGCCCAUGUGACCACAGACAGAUACCAAAGAUUCUAUGCUUUGGUAGCCAUGGAGACAAAUAUAUUAUUUCAGCAUCAAGAAACAAUUAUUCAGAUAGCAAAUACUUUGGGGAUUAGGUGUCUUCAGUAAGUAACUGAUUCCCUGUGACUUGCUGAAUAUUAUACUGUUGCUCGUGUACGGCUGAUCAGAGUCACAGUACUCGGUGCAGUUUGGCAUUGGUUAUAUCUUUUUAAGCUGUAAGUACUAGCCACUGGUGUCUCUGUGUGUUGAUGGGGGUGGUUGCUGAUUCUUCUUUCUUACGCUGUCUGCCCAGUGAGAAAUUCCCCCAUGUGCUAUUUGGCAUGGGAGGGGAGCUGAUGACUGUGUGAAGAAAGGCGCUCAUUGGCCCCUCCAUUUCUCUAAGCUAGCUUGUCACAUACGGUAUAUCCUGCCAGUCUUGUUAAAGCAAACAGGGUACUUGAGAGAGACUGCAGAACCUGAGCACCUGGCUCUAGCCUUGCAUUGGCCAAUAAGGGUCAAAAGCCAUUCCCACCAAAGAAGGGAGAGAGACUUUAAAAAGCUGAACUGCUCUCCAGUGUGUUCCCUCCCAUCAUCAAGGAUCCAGGUGUUCCCACUUACCAUCAGGGAUCCAGAUUAGACUUUUCUUUGAAGCAGAACUUGUAAGUAAAUUGGAAUCAUUAUUUUGUCAUGGCUAGGCUAGGAUUAGUCCAAUUUGAUAACCAUCGUGCCAUGGUUUGUUUUGUAUUCUGUUUUGACCUUCUGCCUGUUUUCUCCUUGCUGAAGUGUGUGUGACUGCCAACCUCAGGGUUUUAGAUGCGCCUAGAUGCUUGGAAUUCAUGCUACUACUAAAAGUUUAGGAUCAGAAUUAUAAGCCCCCAGCAGGCUCUUCUGAGAUCUGGGAGGGACUCAGGGAGUGGGGCCUGCCUUUACAACUCUUGAGUAACCAACAAGGGAAGUGUCUUGAGAAAUGCAGGGUGCAUUUCCCAGGUUUUAAGAAGCCUAGUGUGGGGGUCUGCAGGGAUACGAGCAAACAGCUUUGAUCUUGGACUAAGAUAAGGCAGCUGGAAGCUAGCCCUGAUUUCCCCAUCAAUUUGUGUGAGGAGUGCUGGGUGCACAGACUGAGAACAU